CUAGCCGUAAACGAUGGAUACUAGGCGUUGUGAGUAUCGACCCUCACAGUGUCGUAGCUAACGCGUUAAGUAUCCCGCCUGGGGAGUACGCGCGCAAGCGUGAAACUCAAAGGAAUUGACGGGGGCCCGCACAAGCGGUGGAGUAUGUGGUUUAAUUCGAUGCAACGCGAAGAACCUUACCAGGACUUGGCGUGUCGCGAAUCUCAGGGAAACUUGAGAGUGCCUUCGGGAGCGCGAACACAGGUGGUGC
rnacentral:rRNA from 1 species